UCAAAAAGUUAUUCUUUUGGUCUAGAGGCGGCGCUAGCGAGUCUUUACACCUUGAGUAUGCAGUGUAUAAUGUGCGGUACAAAGUUUAUAACUCUCCAGUAAAACGUUACGUACGCAAGCGAAUGUUUAUUUCCCCCAUGUGCGAGGGCUUCAUGAUAACAACCUCCGCAGAAUUGCAUUCUAUGCAGUUAUGUACUUCCCUGUCCGCAUCACAAAUCUAUAACUAACCAGACAUGCCUGCUUAUCGGCUGUGGCAGCGUCUCCCAUACCGUAAAACCGUUAUCCGGCAAUCGGGUGCGCACCGUAGAAGUUCUGGAGGAUGAACCAGUGACCCUUGAAUGUUCUAACGCUGCACAGCCUUUUAUGGAGCUCAGAUCCGCUUUAUUUAUGGAAAGCUACAAAUAUGAUACAUCCAAGGGAACAUGCGGCAUUAAUCCCGCAUUCUGCCAACCCAGUUCCAACUUACUCCGGGCACCGGAAGGGAUGGCGGAUUUAUUUAGUAUCUGCUUUAACAAUAGCACCUGCACCUUGUCUUUUACUAAAGCCGAUCGACAAGCUAUGGGCUUCUGUGGAUUGACCGUACCCAUGCGAUUGGUAGUCACCUUUAGAUGCUCUGAUAAAAGGGUUGGAUUUCCGGAGGCAGAAGAGAAAGAACAAAACUCUGCAGGUGACAGCAUCUCGUGCCUCACAAACUCAAGGUUGAAAAAAUUUUGCGGGCGCUGAAUUCGAUGAACCACAGCUGACAAUGACGCGAUCAUUCGCUGUAACUUGAUCAGAAGUAUUGGAGCAAGCCAGUUGCAGCUUGGGCUCUUAGAAACUAACAGUUUCAAAAUGACACGGCUCUUUUUCGGUUUCUACGGAUUAGGUAGUGGCAUUUCUUGAAUAGUAAACUUUACUUUAAACUUCCAUGGAACGUAUUAUGUGCGUUUGAUAG